rfam:Dipodomys ordii contig_8127, whole genome shotgun sequence.
UGGCUCAGUGGUAGAGUGCUUGCCUUGCAUGCAUGAGGCCCUGGGUUUGAUUCCCCAG